GCCGCGGUGAUAGCUCAGUGGGUAAAGCGCCAGGUGGUGAUUACUCCGAAUUAUCCACGCGGAUUCGAAUCCCGCCUGUGGCA